rnacentral:lncRNA from 1 species
AGAAUAUGGAAAAUUAGAAUAUACCAUAGUGAAGUUAUAAAAAUGAUGGCUGGGAAGGUAAUUCAAGUUAAGUUUGGUGCUGUUGCAGUUCUCACUGUCAACAGUAACCAGCUGGUGUGUUCAAAGCUACUGCAUUAUCUUUAAACCAUACUGCACUUAGUUACUUCUUUGACUUCUUUGUUAAAUUUACUCUUAGAUUUGAAGGGUGGUUGAGUAACUGCAUGUGUCUGUAAUAGUUUACAUUAACUUAGAAAGAUUUUCUUCUGCACCAUUAAUUCGAAAUCAUAUUAUAUACUGUGUCUUCUGCGGGUGUGCUGGAGGUUCUCACAGUGCCCGGUGUGUGCAGCUAGGCUGAAGCAGACUGCCAGACAGCAAACUAGGAAAGCAUAACAGAAACUUGGGGAACUAGGGUCCUUUGGAAGAGCAAGGUGUGCUAAAAAUGUGGGAAUAAAUCAGUCCCUUCCUGUUAUGUUUCAGUGGCGUGGGUCCUUUGCAUUUUAGUUCCUGGUUGCUGUUUCCCAGGAGGCAGGGCAGUAAUUACCUUAGCCUGAUAAACGAAUGGAGUCUACAGCACGUACAGUUGCCUGUUUUCCCCCUGUGCUCCUUGCUGGGAGUCCCUGCUAUUUCUUUUGUCUUGGCACUAAUGUUCUUGUUCCCAUGCAGAAAAUAGAUUUACUAAAGAAGCUUCUUGAAAAAAGGGAAUAAUUUGCCACAGGAGAUGCUGGAAUAUUAGACAUCAGCACUACAGCUGUAUUCAUAUUAAAGGCAUAUUUGAAUCUCAUCAUUUGUUGGAACCUCAUGGAUUUUUGACAUGCAAGGACAUCAGAAGGAUGUGCUGCCAUUCACUGAGACCUGGACAGGUUGGUGAGUUGGGCAGAGAAGAACCUAAUGAGAAUCAAGAAGGGCAAGUGCAGAGUCUUGCACCUGGGGAGA